UACAGAGGGUGCGAGCGUUGUUCGGAAUUAUUGGGCGUAAAGGGCGCGUAGGCGGUGCGGUAAGUCACCUGUGAAAUCUCCUGGCUCAACUGGGAGCUUGCAGGCGAAACUGCCGUGCUGGAGUGUGGGAGAGGUGCGUGGAAUUCCUGGUGUAGCGGUGAAAUGCGUAGAUAUCGGGAGGAACACCAGUGGCGAAGGCGACUAUCUGGGCUGCAACUGACGCUGAGGCGCGAAGGCUAGGGUAGCAAACAGG
rnacentral:rRNA from 1 species